UACAAGGUGGUUGAGAUUAAACAAUAAACUGUAAAUUUAUAUACGGGUGGUACCCCCUUGUGU
rnacentral:tRNA from 1 species